UACGGAGGGUGCGAGCGUUGUCCGGAAUCACUGGGCGUAAAGGGCGCGUAGGCGGCCCGGCAAGUCUGUGGUGAAAGCUCAGGCUCAACUCUGAGUCGGCCACGGGUACUGCGGGGCUCGAGCACGGUAGAGGCAGGUGGAAUUCCGGGUGUAGCGGUGGAAUGCGUAGAGAUCCGGAAGAACACCGGUGGCGAAGGCGGCCCGCUGGGCAACUGCUGACACUGAGGCGCGACAGCGUGGGGAGCAAACAGG
rnacentral:rRNA from 1 species